UAGACAUCAAGCCGAGAGAAAGAGACGUGCCGAGGAGAGCUGAAUUUCAGAAAUAUAUAUUGACAUAAAAGGGAAUAUUCAGGCGGCCGGAAAUUGAAGUGCGGAAUUAAUAAAGUCGGCCAGCUGCUGGGAUUGAAUAAUUGAGCUGAAUUGAAUAUAGAAUACACGCACAACACAGAACAGAUUUUGGAAGAAAGUCGGCAGCUGAAAUACGGAUUUGAGAAAUUAUUCAUAUUUGGUCGAAUUUUGGAGACGUCUUUCCACUUUUCUUUGUUUAAUUUUUAAAUUAUGUUAGGCUAAAUCAUUAUGUGCUGUGAUUUGCGAUAAACCUUGUAUUGUGAAC
rnacentral:lncRNA from 1 species